UACGUAGGGGGCAAGCGUUGUCCGGAAUUAUUGGGCGUAAAGCGCGCGCAGGCGGCUAUUUAAGUUUGGUGUUUAAUCCCGGGGCUCAACCCCGGUUCGCAUCGAAAACUGGAUGGCUUGAGUGUAGGAGAGGGAAGUGGAAUUCCACGUGUAGCGGUGAAAUGCGUAGAGAUGUGGAGGAACACCAGUGGCGAAGGCGACUUUCUGGCCUAUAACUGACGCUGAGGCGCGAAAGUCGUGGGGAGCAAACAGG
rnacentral:rRNA from 1 species